rnacentral:pre_miRNA from 1 species
ACAACAACAUUCGGACCGUCGGUCUACCGAGCAACAUCACCCGCUCGGUGGAAGAUCUUCCCUUUGUCGUAUACC